rnacentral:rRNA from 1 species
GCCCCAUAAUCUGGGGUGAGGACAGUGUCUGGUGGGUAGUUUGACUGGGGCGGUCUCCUCCCAAAGAGUAACGGAGGAGCACGAAGGUUAGCUAAUCACGGUCGGACAUCGUGAGGUUAGUGCAAAGGCAUAAGCUAGCUUGACUGCGAGAGUGACGGCUCGAGCAGGUACGAAAGUAGGUCUUAGUGAUCCGGUGGUUCUGAAUGGAAGGGCCAUCGCUCAACGGAUAAAAGGUACUCCGGGGAUAACAGGCUGAUACCGCCCAAGAGUUCAUAUCGACGGCGGUGUUUGGCACCUCGAUGUCGGCUCAUCACAUCCUGGGGCUGAAGUAGGUCCCAAGGGUAUGGCUGUUCGCCAUUUAAAGUGGUACGCGAGCUGGGUUUAGAACGUCGUGAGACAGUUCGGUCCCUAUCUGCCGUGGGCGUUGGAAGAUUGAGAGGGGUUGCUCCUAGUACGAGAGGACCGGAGUGAACGCACCACUGGUGUUCGGGUUGUCAUGCCAAUGGCAUUGCCCGGUAGCUAAGUGCGGAAAAGAUAAGCGCUGAAAGCAUCUAAGCGCGAAACUUGCCUCAAGAUGAGUCUUCCCUUGGACUUUGAGUCCACUGAAGGAACGUUUAAGACUAAGACGUUGAUAGGCUGGGUGUGUAAGUGCAGCGAUGCAUUGAGCUAACCAGUACUAAUGAUCCGUGAGGCUUAACCUUACAACACCGAAGGUGUUUUAG